UAUUUAACUGAUAGGCUAUCUGUCAGAAAGUGGGGACAAAAAUUUUUCGCAUCUUUAAUUGCCAUUAAAGUAAUUUUGGUACUCUUUAUUGAAUGCACUUUAGACUGUCUGGUUAUAAAUACAUACAUAAAUAUUAUCUUUAGAGGUUUGGAGCUUUUGUUGUGGCUUGCAGGAUUAGUUAUUUAAAGCUUCAGCCGGUGGAAAUUUCCCAUGCCGUUCCGCGCACGCUCAAUCAAAGCUUUAAUACGGAGAAGAGUCGAUUACAGCAUCAGUAUCCGCUGCUCGCUGCCCCAACACGAUCUGUCUAGGGACCGGCGCGAAAACAAUCUCAUGGAGCCACAGUUUCAGACGUAGCACGUCUUACCGAUCACUGGAUAAGAAACGCGCCGUUUUGAUCCUCAACAGAUCUGGUAGUCCACAUACAGCCAUGGGUAAAAAAGUCUUGCAGUGUUUUCCCUGGUACAAACGUUGUAAAGACAGGGGUAAAGGCAGGCUGUGCCCUCCUCCGGCUGUUCCAUCUGUUGAGGUGCAGCCUGGAUUCUCUCCGACAGUCUCCUGGGGUUAUGAUGGAGAGGAAAACGCUGUGCGUCCUGUGUAUUUUUCCCAUAAAGCGCGAGUAGCUUAUCGCCACCAGAUGGACGACAAUAUUAUUGACGCCACCUGCUGACCUCUGGGCUCCCUUCCCAGAAUUGCUCGCCUUUUACCUGCCUGUAGGGUUCCUGAACACAAUAAGAGGAACACUAGAAGCCUACUAGACAGUUCUGUCUAGUGUAAUUAAACUAAAUCUUUUGUAUUUGGUGAAAAUGUCACUUCCUCCGAAAUGGUAAAUUCUUAUCCUAUAGUUCCUCUAACCUCUUGCCAGAACUGGCGUCCACUUGUUUUGUUUGUACUUGUAUUGACACAGAGUGGAAAAAUACAUGGACUGAAGUGGACGCCUAGUGUUGUAAAUAAAAAUACAUUGUAUGUUUGUCAUGCAUAUGUGAUCCUGGAUGUUUGAUUUCCUGUUGUUUUUUCAUUGUCACCAAGACAUGCUUGGUUUUUCAGAGAUUCAUGAUAACAUUCAGGCAAAAGAGAAUAUUUUGUACCAAUCAUUGGGCUGAUCAUAUCAAAUUAAUAUACAUGUAGAUUCUGGAUUAUGUGAUGAUGUCUUGUUUCUUGUUCUGUAAUUCUGUCAAAGCAGUUUGAGUCUUGAAUGAAACUGUUUAUGGUAAAAUAUAUUUCUGUUGAAAAUCUGUUCGUGAGUCUCUGUUAAAUGCAAACUGUUCUUUUUUUUUAAUAAAAUGUCAUGAUGCAAAUAACAGUAAUGGUACAAAAAUAGGCUUCAUUUUUAUAUAUUGAUGCAAAAUAUAAUUUUCUUUCAAAAGAAGAAAAUAAAGACAUAUUUAACUUAAAGAAAAUGAAGCCUAUUUUUUGCAUCAUGACAUUAUUUUCAUGACAGUUAAGCAAGCAAUUAACAUUUUCCUUGCCAUAAUGCAGAACAAUCUCACUCUCAUCACUAUAAUGCAAAUACACUUUAAAGGAAUAGUUCACCGCCCCCCCCCCCCAAAAAAGACCCAAAAAUGACUUUUUACUAUAAAUCUCCACUUUCAUUUUCACUUUCUUUCACAUUUUGAAAGUGAAAGCGGAGAUUUAUAGUAAAAAAAAAAAGAAAGAAAGAAAAAAAGGACUUAAAUAAUGAUCUGAUUCUCAUCCACACUUACCAUACUGCAUAGCUUCAGAAGAUAUGGAUUUAACCACUGAGGUUUUAUGGAUUACUUUUAUGCUGCAUUUUUAUGCUUUUUGGAGCUUCAAAGUUUUGGACAUUCAGUUGCUUUGAACCUACAGAGCUGAGAUAUUCUACAAAAAAUCUUUGCUUGUGUUCACCAUAAGAAAGAAAGUCAUACACAUCUGGGAUGACAUAAGGGUGAGUAAAUGAUGAGAGAAUUUUCAUUUUGGGGUGAACUAUGUCUUUAUUUAUUUAUUUUUUUAAAAAUGUAACGUAAUUUAAAAAAAAUGUGCUUCAUGAGGCAACAUCCUAAAUGAACUGGUUUUAUUCGAGUCACAAAUGUUAUUUAAUCUGACUAAAUCAACCCCACAAAUUAAGUUACACCAACAAAAGUGAAUUUUAUGGGUUGGACAAAGUAGAAAUAGAUUCCGAGGUGACAACUGUAGGUGACCACUUUUCAGAGUAUAUUUACUGUACUGCCUUUAGCUUAUGCUGGUUUUUAAAAUCUAAAAUCAUUGUAUUAAAGUCAUUUUUACUGUUAUUCACUGAUGACUGUAUUACAGUAAUGAGAAUCUCCAUUGAGAAUACUGGGAAAUAAAAACUCAAAAGACAAACGAUACAUGACCAACACUGAUCUCUGCUGAUCUUUCUAUCAAACCACAAAGUAUAAAUGGCUCAGUGUCUUCAAGAACUGAAGAUACAAUUAUUGUUUGACCACACGAUCAUUUUAGUUUCCCCGAGUCAACACAAACCUUAUUACAUUGAGUUCAGAUAAGAGAUGGGCUUUUGUCGUCAGAAAGGACAUUGAGAGGGCAAAGCUGGAUAUAAAUUCCCUGGCUGCCAGACAUAGGAUGAGAAUUAGCACCAUUGUGACUUUGCAAAGCAUUAUCCGCUUUAGAUGUUGACGUCGAUGGCUGUCUCUCAAGAGUCUAAUGUGUGCGAUGAUAUAAGAGCUUUCCUUUUUUCUGAUAUAUAUAUAUAUAUAUAUCAUUUUAUUUUAUUUUAUUUUAAAUAUGAAGCUGGCGAUGUAACACAAUGGUGAUAUUUUAAUGUAAUACAGAGCAGCAGCAGCGAGACGCACUCUUUUGAGUUUUCGAGUCUCGAAUCGCUGUAAAUAUUUUGGCCAGUAGGUGCCGCUAGACAUUCAUGAUUUUACACGAUUAUGAAGUUUGAGAGAGACAGAAGGGCUGGGAAACUGAGUACUGCUUACUGCGCAGUUUACAAUGUGCCUUAUUUAGUAACUUGCAAAUUUCUAAGACUAUUAAUUGUGUUAAUUUACACUGGCAUUCAUUAAAAACGCGCAACACUACCGCGGUGGGGGUUCAAAUGCAGCUGCUGAGGUCUUUUCUCUCAUCUGACUGGUGUAAUCCAUUUCACUCUUUUUUCAUAAUUUGGAAAGUCGUGGAAACAUUAUUCUGGAUUUAAUAUUUUGCAGUUGGAGCAAAUGGGAAUGCAAAAAUUAAACUGGCUGUUGUCUUCCAUUUACUGCUAACAGGGAAAAGGGUUACAUUGUUGUCACAUGACCUCAUUCAGUUGCAUGUUUAAUUAAAGGAAUAUUCUGGGUUCAGUAGAAAGCAUUUGUGGCAUAAUGUUGAUUACCACAAAACUUUAUUUCGACUUAUCCCUCCUUUUCUUUAAAGGUGCAGUAUGUAACAAUUUUCAUGUAAUAUUAUUAUUAUAAUUUUUAUUUAUUUAUUUUUAUUUGUUUUGCCAAUGUGUGAACGGAUUGUAACGCAACUUAAAAAAUGAGCCCUUCCCGGACUUCCUAGGUUGCCUAUUAAAGUCUGUAGACUGAUUUUUAUAGGAAGGGAGCGGGUCGGUUUUGCCGGGAAAAUCCAAAGGACGUGACGUUUAUGCGCGCUCCCGAGAGCCUUGCCUGUGAAUCUCUUCCACUAUUCAACAGCAACAACAAACUGCAACACUAGGUAACGUUAUCUUAGAGAUGGAAUCCAGCAAACGUCCGGCUCCCAGCACAACACCGUCUCCUACACAAACUCUGAGUAAGCCAAAAAAAAUAAAAAAUAAUUUAUCUACUGAAUCCUGUCUGGCUAAGCGGGAACGUGAUCGUGGUCGAGCAAAAACUAGAGUGAACAUCGGCAGGGCAUUUGAUUCCUGGAGGGACCUUCGUUUGUUUUUGGGGAUCAAAACCAACCCUGAAUUGGCAUUCUUCUUAUUGGACAGGUAAGCUUACAUAACUGCAAAGCAUGUGAAAUAUAGUGCCAUAAGGAUUGAUCUGUGUAAUUUUAGCUAACUUGAUCUUGCCUGCUAACGCUCACAAAUUACAAGCUACCUUACUUCGUAACUUUCAAAUAAUUUCAGCGAUCUUCUCUUUAUACUAAAAGUCAGGUAUACAGGAUAAAUUUAAGCAAAUACGCUGGUUUCUUAUUCGUAGUACAACAUAUGACAUACAAAACAUACAAUAGUGCAACAUAACUGUGCAGUGCAACAGUAAACUGUCUGGUAUAGUUUGGUAGUAUGUAGCUGUAUGUGUGUAUCAGUAUGCUAUGUAUUCUAUGUUAGCUGAUAAGUAGUUUUAGUUUAAUCUCAAAGUUUGUAGUAAAACAAUCAACUGUGUAAUUUUAAUGAUGCUACCUCAUCUGUCAGCAUGAUGCCGGUGAAUCACGUUCAGUCUCUUUGUACGUUAUGUCAUUGUUUUGGAUGCUCGAUCGCUCGCGUCCCUAUGGAGUGUGUGCACAAGCGCGAGCACGAGCAACAGGUAGCUGGCUGCAGUUCACUUAACGGCCACAGGUGUCAUUAAUAACAAGGGUUUCUGAAUCUUACAUACUGCACCUUUAAAAAAAGGUUAAGACAGAUUGGACUCCAUUCACUUCCAUUGUAAGUGCCUCACUGGAACACAGAUUUUUGCUUAGAAAAGGAGGGACGAGUCGAAAUACUUUUUUGUGGUAAUCAACAUUAUGCCACAAAUACUGUCGAGUAAGUUUACUUGUGUUGAACCUGAAAUAUUCAUUAAGCGAGUGGUGUUCAGUACUAGGUAAUCUUGGAAAAAGAAGUGGUUAUUUUGCAUUAAUAAUGUUGACCUCAAAGUGCUGAACAAAACCAGAAAAACUAUGAGUUGCAGAUGUUAAAUAUUGCAGCUGAUAUUAUUUCCAAGUCGUUCAUCACAUAGUGCGCAGUAUGCAGUGUACUCCAGUUUUAUACUGCACAUUUUGUCAAAUGUACAGUUCAUCUGGUUAUUCCAUGCAUACAGAAAAUUUGCAUACUGACAGCAUACCGCAGAAAUAUUAAGAGUAGUAUGGUAUUCCAAACAUAGAGAGAGAGAGAGAGAGAGAGAGGUGUUAGCUAUAUUUUUAACACAUCACCAGUUUAGUAUAUGUUCAUGUUUUAAAUCAUAGGUGUAUUCUGUUCCAAACUAUCAG